GUGCACCAGUCGAGAAACUUUACAAUGUGCGAAAGCACGAUAAGGGAACUCUGAGUGCCUCCUAAGGAGGCUGUUCAGGUGUCUAAAAGCACCUGAAGGAAGGGCUGGGUAAGACCGGUGCCAGCCGCCGCGGUAACACCGGCAGCCCAAGUGGUAGCCACGUUUAUUGGGUCUAAAGCGUCCGUAGCCGGCUGGGUAAGUUCCUUGGGAAAUUUGGCUGCUUAACAGUCAAGCUUUCAGGGAAUACUGCCCGGCUUGGGACCGGGAGAGGUCAGAGGUACUCCAGGGGUAGGGGUGAAAUCCAUUAAUCCUUGGGGGACCACCGGUAGCGAAGGCGUCUGACCAGACCGGGUCCGACGGUGAGGGACGAAGGCUAGGGGCGCGAACCGGAUUAGAUACCCCC
rnacentral:rRNA from 1 species